rnacentral:rRNA from 1 species
AUUGAACGCUGGCGGCAUGCCUUACACAUGCAAGUCGAACGGCAGCACGGGUGCUUGCACCUGGUGGCGAGUGGCGAACGGGUGAGUAAUACAUCGGAACAUGUCCUGUAGUGGGGGAUAGCCCGGCGAAAGCCGGAUUAAUACCGCAUACGAUCUACGGAUGAAAGCGGGGGACCUUCGGGCCUCGCGCUAUAGGGUUGGCCGAUGGCUGAUUAGCUAGUUGGUGGGGUAAAGGCCUACCAAGGCGACGAUCAGUAGCUGGUCUGAGAGGACGACCAGCCACACUGGGACUGAGACACGGCCCAGACUCCUACGGGAGGCAGCAGUGGGGAAUUUUGGACAAUGGGCGAAAGCCUGAUCCAGCAAUGCCGCGUGUGUGAAGAAGGCCUUCGGGUUGUAAAGCACUUUUGUCCGGAAAGAAAUCCUUGGCCCUAAUACGGUCGGGGGAUGACGGUACAGGAAGAAUAAGCACCGGCUAACUACGUG